rnacentral:misc_RNA from 1 species
UCGUGGGGAUUCGUCCCUUCUAGAUAGACACCCUUUGUUUAUGAGUACCAUUGUUUCCUCGGCGGGCCUGCCCGCCGUUGGACAUUUAAAACCUUUGUAGUAGUAGUAUCUUCAGUAAAAAACAAAUAUUA